GACGAACUUUUGUGGCGUGCUUAACACAUGCAAGUCGAACGGAAAGGCCCUGCUUUUGUGGGGUGCUCGAGUGGCGAACGGGUGAGUAACACGUGAGUAACCUGCCCUUGACUUUGGGAUAACUUCAGGAAACUGGGGCUAAUACCGGAUAGGAGCUCCUGCUGCAUGGUGGGGGUUGGAAAGUUUCGGCGGUUGGGGAUGGACUCGCGGCUUAUCAGCUUGUUGGUGGGGUAGUGGCUUACCAAGGCUUUGACGGGUAGCCGGCCUGAGAGGGUGACCGGCCACAUUGGGACUGAGAUACGGCCCAGACUCCUACGGGAGGCAGCAGUGGGGAAUAUUGCACAAUGGGCGGAAGUCUGAUGCAGCAACGCCGCGUGCGGGAUGACGGCCUUCGGGUUGUAAACCGCUUUCGCCUGUGACGAAGCGUGAGUGACGGUAAUGGGUAAAGAAGCACCGGCUAACUACGUGCCAGCAGCCGCGGUGAUACGUAGGGUGCGAGCGUUGUCCGGAUUUAUUGGGCGUAAAGGGCUCGUAGGUGGUUGAUCGCGUCGGAAGUGUAAUCUUGGGGCUUAACCCUGAGCGUGCUUUCGAUACGGGUUGACUUGAGGAAGGUAGGGGAGAAUGGAAUUCCUGGUGGAGCGGUGGAAUGCGCAGAUAUCAGGAGGAACACCAGUGGCGAAGGCGGUUCUCUGGGCCUUUCCUGACGCUGAGGAGCGAAAGCGUGGGGAGCGAACAGGCUUAGAUACCCUGGUAGUCCACGCUGUAAACGGUGGGUACUAGGUGUGGGGUCCAUUCCACGGGUUCCGUGCCGUAGCUAACGCUUUAAGUACCCCGCCUGGGGAGUACGGCCGCAAGGCUAAAACUCAAAGGAAUUGACGGGGCCCCGCACAAGCGGCGGAGCAUGCGGAUUAAUUCGAUGCAACGCGUAGAACCUUACCUGGGUUUGACAUGGAUCGGGAGUGCUCAGAGAUGGGUGUGCCUCUUUUGGGGUCGGUUCACAGGUGGUGCAUGGCUGUCGUCAGCUCGUGUCGUGAGAUGUUGGGUUAAGUCCCGCAACGAGCGCAACCCUUGUUCACUGUUGCCAGCACGUUAUGGUGGGGACUCAGUGGAGACCGCCGGGGUCAACUCGGAGGAAGGUGGGGAUGACGUCAAGUCAUCAUGCCCCUUAUGUCCAGGGCUUCACGCAUGCUACAAUGGCUGGUACAGAGAGUGGCGAGCCUGUGAGGGUGAGCGAAUCUCGGAAAGCCGGUCUCAGUUCGGAUUGGGGUCUGCAACUCGACCUCAUGAAGUCGGAGUCGCUAGUAAUCGCAGAUCAGCAACGCUGCGGUGAAUACGUUCCCGGGGCU
rnacentral:rRNA from 1 species